AUUGGAUUUUUUUUUAAACUUUAUCAUUUAUAAAGCCAUACAAUGGGUCGCAAAGAAACAAAGGCGGCUGUACAGAGUGGGAGGAGAGCAUCAGUGUACAAUACAUUCAUACCCGGGAUGAGUAACAUAAGUCAGAUUUUAUACAAGGUGGCAAAAGUUAUGGGCACAAUGAUACAAAAUAUAAAGUAUAUUUCCAUCUAUAUAAAUACAUAGCUGGGGUGGAUUGAAAAGGAGAGGGUUAUUAUAUUUUUUCUGAGGGAGGGCUAGUGGGGGGAGGGAUUUCUUACAUUUGCUUUCAAUAAGAUUUGAGACAGGAGGAGGGGGAAAACAUAAAAACACAUUAAACAUCUGUGCACUUACACAUUAACAUAUGCAUACACACACACACACAGGUUUCAAACUACUUAACACUGAUUAGAAAAUUAAUUUGGAACAUUCUCCCAAUGAGAUUCAGGCUGCUAGAACAGCACAGGAAUGGGAAGAAAAGAAAGCUUUCCUGCAUUUCCCAGGUACUAGGAAACAGGACUUAGGGAGGAGCAGAACAACCCUCACUCUGACUAAUGAUCUUCUCCAUCAAUCAAACAAAACCAAGACUGAGCCUGAAGCCAGCUGGGUGACCCUCUGGAUCUCACCUCCUGAUUCCUUUUGCCUGAAGGUGAUUUCGUACCAGACUUUCCACUGCCUCUUGCAACUAUUACCCAUCCCCAUACACACGUCCUCCCAUACACAGAUGCACAUUGCUUCCAUACACACCCACCUUUUCUAUGUUGUGGAAGGAAACUCCAGAGUCCUAGCAGAUAAAGGGCUUACGCCUGGGAUGUACCAGGGCUGAAAGACAAGAGCCCUGCCCCUUAUCGAGUGUUGUUGAAGGGGGGAGGCAAUGCAGACAAGAGGUCUAGACUAGGACAGAUGGAGAAAUGAUCCUUGAAUGGGCAAUCUAGACCAGAUUCUUCUCACAUGCCAGUCCUUCCUUUGGGCCAAUGAAGGGGAAUAGACCUCUCAGUCCAAUCCCAGUCAGAUCAAAGUGACUGGAAUUUCCUACACUCAACUUUUCCUGGGAGCCUUCUACUCACUUUCUCCCUCUGAUGGGGUUCUCUCACACACAUACAUACAUACAUACACCUCCACCCUCCUCUCCUGUCUGAGACUCUAACUUACCCAGAAAUUCCACCUUCAAGGAUGGUUAGACAUGGCCAUUAUUCCCCACAAUUUUUUUCUGUCCACCCAAAGGAAGUACUCAGAAUUGGAUGUAGAACUGGAAGGACUUGUUCCAAAAGACUAAGAUAUGGCCUCUCUUCUUGUGGCGGGGGGAGGCCCUUUUUCAAUGCACAUACCACUUACAAUUCAAAAGGAAAACACAAGCUAAGGAAAACAAAAUAGAACGGGGCCCCUGUGAUGGUGAUAGAAAGAUCUUGAUCAGGAAGAAGAGAAGCAUCUGAAGCUGGUCAAACUGGAUUUGCUCCCCAUUCAUCUUAUCUCUCGACAUCAGUUCACAUUUUCUUUUUCCUACUCAUCCCACACCUAAAGAAGCUCCCAAAAUCCUACACUGAGCUUAGCUUGUUUUGAAGAGUUCCUUUGCCUCUCCUCUCUCCCAUGAGGAUACUCUUAUUACAUCCUCAUCCUGUCUUGGAAAUCUAAGAGAGUUUUCACCCUGACUUAGAAUGGUGCUGGGUGGGAGAGGGCCAAGUG
ensembl:lncRNA